GCCGUCCUACGGGACGCAGCAGUGAGGAAUAUUGGUCAAUGGACGAGAGUCUGAACCAGCCAAGUAGCGUGAAGGAUGACUGCCCUAUGGGUUGUAAACUUCUUUUAUAUGGGAAUAAAACGUUCCACGUGUGGGAUUUUGUAUGUACCAUAUGAAUAAGGAUCGGCUAACUCCGUGCCAGCAGCCGCGGUAAUACGGAGGAUCCGAGCGUUAUCCGGAUUUAUUGGGUUUAAAGGGAGCGUAGGUGGAUUGUUACGUCAGUUGUGAAAGUUUGCGGCUCAACCGUAACAUUGCAGUUGAAACUG
rnacentral:rRNA from 1 species